rnacentral:rRNA from 13 species
ACCCUGUUGAGCUUGACUCUAGUCAGACUUUGUGAAUUGACUUGGGAGGUGUAGAAUAAGUGGGAGAUGCAAAUCGACGAUGAAAUACCACUACUCCUGGCGUCAAUUUACUUAUUUCGUUGUUUUGAAUCAGGCCUUCGUGGCCUUUGUUUCUAGACUUAAAUUCUGAUUCUUUUUCAGAAUGAUCUACGCGAGAGACAAAGUCUGGUGGGGAGUUUGGCUGGGGCGGC